GACGAACGCUGGCGGCGUGCCUAAUACAUGCAAGUAGAACGCUGAAGAGAGGAGCUUGCUCUUCUUGGAUGAGUUGCGAACGGGUGAGUAACGCGUAGGUAACCUGCCUUGUAGCGGGGGAUAACUAUUGGAAACGAUAGCUAAUACCGCAUAACAAUGGAUGACACAUGUCAUUUAUUUGAAAGGGGCAAUUGCUCCACUACAAGAUGGACCUGCGUUGUAUUAGCUAGUAGGUGAGGUAACGGCUCACCUAGGCGACGAUACAUAGCCGACCUGAGAGGGUGAUCGGCCACACUGGGACUGAGACACGGACCAGACCCCUACGGGAGGCAGCAGUAGGGAAUCUUCGGAAAUGGGGGCAACCCUGACCGAGCAACGCCGCGUGAGUGAAGAAGGUUGUCGGAUCGUAAAGCUCUGUUGUAAGUCAAGAACGAGUGUGAGAGUGGAAAGUUCACACUGUGACGGUAGCUGACCAGAAAGGGACGGCUAACUACGUG
rnacentral:rRNA from 1 species